rnacentral:rRNA from 1 species
AGCCUGAAUCAGUGUGUGUGUUAGUGGAAGCGUCUGGAAAGGCGCGCGAUACAGGGUGACAGCCCCGUACACAAAAAUGCACAUGCUGUGAGCUCGAUGAGUAGGGCGGGACACGUGGUAUCCUGUCUGAAUAUGGGGGGACCAUCCUCCAAGGCUAAAUACUCCUGACUGACCGAUAGUGAACCAGUACCGUGAGGGAAAGGCGAAAAGAACCCCGGCGAGGGGAGUGAAAAAGAACCUGAAACCGUGUACGUACAAGCAGUGGGAGCACAGAGCAAUCUGUGUGACUGCGUACCUUUUGUAUAAUGGGUCAGCGACUUAUAUUCUGUAGCAAGGUUAACCGAAUAGGGGAGCCGAAGGGAAACCGAGUCUUAACUGGGCGUUAAGUUGCAGGGUAUAGACCCGAAACCCGGUGAUCUAGCCAUGGGCAGGUUGAAGGUUGGGUAACACUAACUGGAGGACCGAACCGACUAAUGUUGAAAAAUUAGCGGAUGACUUGUGGCUGGGGGUGAAAGGCCAAUCAAACCGGGAGAUAGCUGGUUCUCCCCGAAAGCUAUUUAGGUAGCGCCUCGUGAAUUCAUCUCCGGGGGUAGAGCACUGUUUCGGCAAGGGGGUCAUCCCGACUUACCAACCCGAUGCAAACUGCGAAUACCGGAGAAUGUUAUCACGGGAGACACACGGCGGGUGCUAACGUCCGUCGUGAAGAGGGAAACAACCCAGACCGCCAGCUAAGGUCCCAAAGUCAUGGUUAAGUGGGAAACGAUGUGGGAAGGCCCAGACAGCCAGGAUGUUGGCUUAGAAGCAGCCAUCAUUUAAAGAAAGCGUAAUAGCUCACUGGUCGAGUCGGCCUGCGCGGAAGAUGUAACGGGGCUAAACCAUG